CCUACGGGAGGCAGCAGUGGGGAAUAUUGGGCAAUGGGCGCAAGCCUGACCCAGCAACGCCGCGUGAAGGAAGAAGGCUUUCGGGUUGUAAACUUCUUUUCUGAGGGACGAUGAAAGUGACGGUACCUCAGGAAUAAGCCGCGUCUAACUACGUGCCAGCAGCCGCGGUAAUACGUAGGUAGCAAGCGUUAGCCGGAUUUAUUGGGUGUAAAGGGCGUGUAGGCGGGAAAGCAAGUCAGAUGUGAAACCCCAGGGCUCAACCCUGAUCCUGCAUUUGAAACUGUCUUUCUUGAGUGCUGGAGAGGCAAGCGGAAUUCCGUGUGUAGCGGUGAAAUGCGUAGAUAUACGGAGGAACACCAGUGGCGAAGGCGGAUUGCUGGACAGUAACUGACGCUGAGGCGCGAAAGCGUGGGGAGCAAACAGGAUUAGAUACCCGGGUAGUC
rnacentral:rRNA from 1 species